AUUGAACGCUGGCGGAAUGCUUUACACAUGCAAGUCGAACGGCAGCACGGACUUCGGUCUGGUGGCGAGUGGCGAACAGGUGAGUAAUGUAUCGGAACGUGCCCAGUCGUGGGGGAUAACGUAGUGAAAAUUACGCUAAAUACCGCAUACGAUCUAUGGAUGAAAGCGGGGGAUCGCAAGACCUCGCGCGAUUGGAGCGGCCGAUAUCAGAUUAGGUAGUUGGUGGGGUAAAGGCCCACCAAGCCAACGAUCUGUAGCUGGUCUGAGAGGACGACCAGCCACACUGGAACUGAGACACGGUCCAGACUCCUACGGGAGGCAGCAGUGGGGAAUUUUGGACAAUGGGCGAAAGCCUGAUCCAGCCAUUCCGCGUGCAGGAUGAAGGCCCUCGGGUUGUAAACUGCUUUUGUACAGAACGAAAAGGUUUCUACUAAUACUAGGAGCUCAUGACGGUACUGUAAGAAUAAGCACCGGCUAACUACGUGCCAGCAGCCGCCGUAA
rnacentral:rRNA from 1 species